rnacentral:rRNA from 1 species
AGUCCUACGGGAGGCAGCAGUGAGGAGUAUUGGUCAAUGGACGCAAGUCUGAGCCAGCCAUGCCGCGUGAAGGAUGAAGGCGUUCUGCGUUGUAAACUUCUUUUAUCUGGGAGGAAACCUACCUUUUCUAAGGUAGCCGACGGUACCAGAGGAAUAAGCACCGGCUAACUCGUGCCAGCAGCCGCGGUAAU